UUCAGAUCCCAAAGAAAUAACCAUGAGUAUAACUGGAACUGGAGAAUAAAGUCUGAACAACACACACACCUCAGACUGCAUGCCCAACCUCCAGUCUGGCCCUCGGCACAGCAAGACCAGCACUAGAGACACAAGCACUGAGGUUCCCUUCUCCAAAGAUCAAGUAACAGAACACAUUCUCUGGCUCACCUUGAAGAACAAAGACUUGAGAAAAGCAGCCUGCCUGGGGAUGAGGAGGUGGCUGCCUGCUUGAUGUAAUUGCAGGGUCUCUGGAAAAAUCUCUUGAGCUCCAAAUAUUUUCCUGCUAUAAACCUGAGAACGC
rnacentral:lncRNA from 1 species